ensembl:lncRNA
GUAACCAUCUUGACAUCAGCUGUUUGUUAGACUACACAGGAUGAGUGAAAGCAUGGCAUGAAGAUUCUUUGUGAUGCCCAUAUGUUGAUGCAGUUAUAAUAUUGCAGAACUUACCAGGUAGAUCAUCUGUAAUUGUAGCACGCAGUGGAGUAGUGGAAGGUGGUGGAGUGCAAGCUAGAGUCGACCUAACUGAGGAGGUAGCACGCAGUGGAGUAGAAGGUGGUGGAGUUGACUUAGGUGAGGAGGUUCCAGAUCAGCCUCCGAGCAGCGUCUCUUCCGGGUCCAUUGUAGUAUCUAUAAGAUGGUACAGCACAAAUAAUAAUAAAACCUUAUUUAUAUAGCACCUUUCAUGCAAAACAAUGCAGCUCAAAGUGCUUUACAGCAAAUACGUGCGUAUCUACGUGCGCAAUAACGUGCACAAAGAAAUUACAUGCACAUAAAAAUAGACAAAGAAACAUAAAAACUCAACUAUAGUGCAAAAACAAAUGUAGUAAGUACAGUUUAUGUAAUGUACACUUUAUUACGUCUACACGUUUCUCAAAGACUAAGGGCUGAGGGCUAGCUAGCAAGUGGCACCCAUGUUAGCUUCGAAAGUUACGGUUAUCAAGUGGGACCCAGGUUAGCCUUACGUGUGAUUGUACAUUGUUUUCAUCGUCGAUUUAAUUCCUCGCAAGUUAUGGGAAGGUACACAUGUUUCAACACAUAUUAGCACUGCUAACACAUCUCACAAACAGCAUCAGCUAGCAUCUAGCACUUGUUUUAGUGUGAUGCAACUGAAAUUAACUUACCCAUGGUAGUUGGCAACUGAGCACCCAAAUCUACGCCGUUGUGCUCUACUAGGGACUCUUGUGUUGUCCAUAGCGUUGUUUGUUUGUUUUCUGCCGGCCAGGCUCCCAGGAGUCUCUUUCGACUUCCGGGUCACGACCUGGGAGGGAGGAGGGCGGCGGGAUCUCAAGCAUGCGCAAAGACGCAAAGUCCAGUUCCUUAUCCGAUUCACUGUUACAUGCCGCAAUAGUCGAACUAUCAACUGGAUCGGAUCGAGUUAUCCAGGGGUGUUAAUCAGAUCGUAGUCGGACCGCACAUAGUCGGACAAAGGUGUUUACAUGAAACGGAUAAUUCAAUUUCAGUCCGACUAAGCCAGUUAUUCGAAUCCAUGUAACCACGCUGUGUGACACACACUCUGACUGCCCCACCCGUCCACCACAUGAAUAAUGCAUCAUCAGAGUCGGCAGUGAGCUAAUGAGUCAAUUGCAUAGAGACUAGAGAGACACCCGUGCGCUGUGAUGGUUAAACCGGGCGGUCCCUUCG